rnacentral:tRNA from 1 species
GCCGGAAUAGCUCAGUUGGUAGAGCGGGGACUU